GACGAACGCUGGCGGCGUGCUUAACACAUGCAAGUCGAACGGAAAGGCCCUGCUUUUGUGGGGUGCUCGCGUGGCGAACGGGUGAGUAACACGUGAGUAACCUGCCCUUGACUUUGGGAUAACUUCAGGAAACUGGGGCUAAUACCGGAUAGGAGCUCCUGCUGCAUGGUGGGGGUUGGAAAGUUUCGGCGGUUGGGGAUGGACUCGCGGCUUAUCAGCUUGUUGGUUGGGUAGUGGCUUACCAAGGCUUUGACGGGUAGCCGGCCUGAGAGGUGGGCCGGCCACAUUGGGACUGAGAUACGGCCCAGACUCCUACGGGAGGCAGCAGUGGGGAAUAUUGCACAAUGGGCGGAAGCCUGAUGCAGCAACGCCGCGUGCGGGAUGACGGCCUUCUGGUUGUAAACCGCUUUCGCCUGUGACGAAGCGUGAGUGACGGUAAUGGGUGAAGAAGCACCGGCUAACUACGUG
rnacentral:rRNA from 1 species